rnacentral:lncRNA from 1 species
GCCGAAGAUCAGAUGCUUAACCAACUGAGCCACCCAGCCACCCCUGUCAAGGCUUCCUAACGUAUGGGACAUAAGGAAGUGGUGUGGAGUGCAUCCUUGGGGGUGUUCCAGAAGAGGACACCAAAGGCAGAAAGAAGCUCCUUCAGCUCUUGCUUGUUUUGUUAAUGGGUAUUCACUGACAUGUAAUACUCUAUCAUCCAUAAAAUGCAUCCAUAGACAUUUUCCAUUUGACUUCCAAGCAAUCCUACUGAGGAUGAAAAGAAUCAACUGAUGACAACAAAUGUGUGGCUCAAACAGGUAACUGUCAGUCCAAGCAUUAUAUCCGCUAAACUAAUUAUUUCCAGUCUUUUCUAUUUAGAAAGACUCCCAUUUGAAAAAUAAUUAUUUUCAGAGCAUAUUGAGUUCUUCAGUGAGAUAUCUGGGAAUGGUUAGGAAGGGGCUAUUACUUUUCAUUUUCUUUUUUUUUUUUUAAUUUUUUUAAUUUACAUCCAAGUUAGUUAGCAUAUAGUGCAACAACGAUUUCAGGAGUAGAUUCCUUAAUGCCCCUUACCCAUUUAGCCCAUCCUCCCUCCCACAACCCCUCCAGUAACCCUCUGUUUGUUCCCCAUAUUUAAGUCUCAUGUUUUUGUCCCCCUCCCUGUUUUUAUUAUUUUUGCUUCCCUUCCUUUGUGUUCAUCUGUUUUGUCUCUUAAAGUCCUCAUAUGAGUAAAGUCAUAUGAUUUUUAUCUUUCUCUGACUAAUUUCAUUUAGCACAAUACCCUCCAGUUCCAUCCACAUAGCUGCAAAUGGCAAGAUUUCAUUCUUUUUUGAUUGCCGAGUAAUACUCCUUUGUAUAUAUAGACCACAUCUUUAAUAUUUUUUUUUCAACGUUUAUUUAUUUUUGGGACAGAGAGAGACAGAGCAUGAACGGGGGAGGGGCAGAGAGAGAGGGAGACACAGAAUCGGAAACAGGCUCCAGGCUCUGAGCCAUCAGCCCAGAGCCCGACGCGGGGCUCGAACUCACAGACCGCGAGAUCGUGACCUGGCUAAAGUCGGACGCUU